UGGUUAUAACAGUUAUUCAAUUCACUUUCUCAAUUAGAGUUAAAUGAUUACAAGUGAAAAAUAACAACUAACCUCUCUCUUAACAUGUGAGAGAGGAGCUUAUUUAUAGAAUACUAACAUAUGUAUAUCUUAUGUAUGAUGAUAACUACAUGACAUACAUAUCUACUCCAUAAAUAUAUCUUAUUGUAGUGAUGAUAUAUUUACGGGUAUGUCGAAUUCUGAAGCUACCCCAGUCGAAUUUUGAGUUUGAUCUAAUACUAACUUAUGACUCCCAAGCUACCUCAAUUUUAUGAUUUUUGAAUAGUGAGUCAAAUACUUGGCUUUUAAGUUGAAAUGUCUAGAAAAUCCAUUUUCCUUCCACUAGUCAAGGAUUUCUUGAGACG
rnacentral:lncRNA from 1 species